rnacentral:misc_RNA from 1 species
AUUUGUGUGACAAGUAAAAAAGUUACAGGAUUUGCAUUUAAACGUCCUCAGUGAAAAAAAAAACAAAAAUACUAACAAUAUUUAUUGCAUAAUUUGUUGAGUAUUGGAAAGACCAAAAUCCACAAUCAUCAUGCCAAAAAAUUCUAACCAUGCAAGUUAAAUUGUAAAUUAGCAAACAUAAUGUGGUACAAGAAAAUCAUAGGUUUUCACUCUAUAUCAACUUAUAAAAGUAAAUAAAAA